rnacentral:ncRNA from 1 species
GACUCAACACGGGAAACCUCACCCGUCCCGGACACGGACAGGAUAGACAGAUUGAUAGCUCUUUCUCGAUUCCGUGGGUGGUGGUGCAUGGCCGUUCUUAGUUGGUGGAGCGAAAAAUCUGGUUAAUUCCGAUAACGAAAGAAACUCAAACAUGCUAACUAGUUACGCGACCCCCGAGCGGUCGGCGUCCCCCAACUUCUUAGAGGGACAAGUGGCGUUCAGCCACCCGAGAUUGAGCAAUAACAGGUCUGUGAUGCCCUUAGAUGUCCGGGGCUGCACGCGCGCUACACUGACUGGCUCAGCGUGUGCCUACCCUACGCCGGCAGGCGCGGGUAACCCGUUGAACCCCAUUCGUGAUGGGGAUCGGGGAUUGCAAAUAUUCCCCAUGAACGAGGAAUUCCCAGUAAGUGCGGGUCAUAAGCUUGCGUUGAUUAAGUCCCUGCCCUUUGUACACACCGCCCGUCGCUAGAGACAGAUUGGAUGGUUUAGUGAGGCCCUCGGAUCGGCCCCGCCGGGGUCGGCCCACGGCCCUGGCGGAGCGCUGAGAAGACGGUCGAACUUGACUAUCUAGAGGAAGUAAAAU